CGUGUAGGCGGCUGGAUAAGUCAGAUGUGAAAGCCCUGGGGCUUAACCCAGGAAGUGCAUUUGAAACUGUUCAGCUUGAGUAAGGGAGAGGAAAGUGGAAUUCCUGGUGUAGAGGUGAAAUUCGUAGAUAUCAGGAGGAACACCGGUGGCGAAGGCGACUUUCUGGCCCUAUACUGACGCUGAGACGCGAGAGCGUGGGUAGCAAACAG
rnacentral:rRNA from 1 species